AUGUAUGCUGGCUCAAACCCCACCUCAGAGAUUAGGAACUCUGACCUGCUCUCCAGCAUCUGGUUAGACCUCACCAGCACAAUUGGAAGCUUGGACAAAGCAAUGCCCACCUCGGCAUCAGACCACCUGAACGUCUUCUUCAAGUGCUCCACUUUGGCGGCGAUUUUCUCCUUGCUAAGGAAUGCAACAGCCCGCAACGCGUGCCUGAACAUCCGAGAGACACAGGGCACACCAAUACCUUGGGCGCGUGCCACCAUUUCCCACACGCACUCUACGUUUGAGGCGAGCAGCCAUGGCUCGGCGAUGCACAACUUGGCAAUGUCACAGUCACCUAGCCCGCACUCUCGCAGGAACGCAACAUUGGGCUUGACCACUGUAUCAAUGUUGGCUGAGAGAAGGCAUGAGCCGCGCCUGAGAGCAGGGAGGAGGUUCUCAAAGGAGCCGAAGAGGUGCAGGAAGUACUGCAGAUUUGAGACCAUGGAUCUACAUCGGAAUUUGUCACGGGAGAGCGAGACGAGGUGCGCGAUGUCAGAACGUGACAGGCCGAGGCCGGUGAGCCCAGCGACGACGGGGGCCAGGGUUCUCUCCACUUUGGCGCAGAGGAACUGCGGGUCCUUGGCGACGAGGGCGGCGACGUCGGCGCCGGAGAGGCCGAGGCCGGUGAGGAAGGCGAGGACGGCGUCGGGAUUGGCGGGGGACUUGAGGUGGGAGAGCUUGGCGGAGGCCUUGAGGGCCUGGGGUCGGGUGAGGCCGCAGGUGGCGACGAGAUACUCCUCCACGGCGAAGCUAGGGUUCGGGGAGACGGCGGAGAAGAGGCGGCUGAGGUGGGAGAUGGGAGAGGCGGGGGAAGACGAGAGGAGCUGGGAGAGGACGGUGUGGCGGAGCCGGAGCAUGGCGGCGCCGCCGCUUUGGAGGAGAUCGACGGGGCGGCGGCGGCGGCGAGGGAAUGGGGAAGUGAUGUUGCGUGGGAGAGCUUGGCCGAGGCCUUGA
rnacentral:rRNA from 1 species